rnacentral:rRNA from 1 species
CGAACGCUGGCGGCGUGCUUAACACAUGCAAGUCGAACGAAAAGAGGGAAAGAGCUUGCUCUUUCCGGAAUUGAGUGGCAAACGGGUGAGUAACACGUAAACAACCUGCCUUCAGGAUGGGGACAACAGACGGAAACGACUGCUAAUACCGAAUAAGUUCCAAGAGCCGCAUGGCCCAUGGAAGAAAAGGUGGCCUCUACCUGUAAGCUAUCGCCUGAAGAGGGGUUUGCGUCUGAUUAGCUGGUUGGAGGGGUAACGGCCCACCAAGGCGACGAUCAGUAGCCGGUCUGAGAGGAUGAACGGCCACACUGGAACUGAGACACGGUCCAGACUCCUACGGGAGGCAGCAGUGGGGAAUCUUCCGCAAUGGGCGAAAGCCUGACGGAGCAACGCCGCGUGAGUGAUGACGGCCUUCGGGUUGUAAAACUCUGUGAUCCGGGACGAAAAGGCAGAGUGCGAAGAACAAACUGCAUUGACGGUACCGGAAAAGCAAGCCACGGCUAACUACGUG